UUCCUACGGGAGGCAGCAGUGGGGAAUAUUGCACAAUGGGGGAAACCCUGAUGCAGCGACGCCGCGUGAAGGAAGAAGUAUUUCGGCAUGUAAACUUCUAUCAGCAGGGAAGAAAAUGACGGUACCUGACUAAGAAGCCCCGGCUAACUACGUGCCAGCAGACGCGGUAAUACGUAGGGGGCAAGCGUUAUCCGGAUUUACUGGGUGUAAAGGGAGCGUAGGCGGCGGUGCAAGUCAGAAGUGAAAGCCCGCAGCUCAACUGCGGAACGGCUUUUGAAACUGUAUGACUAGAUUGCUGGAGAGGG
rnacentral:rRNA from 1 species